UACGAAGGGGGCUAGCGUUGCUCGGAAUUACUGGGCGUAAAGGGCGCGUAGGCGGGUGUCUAAGUCAGAGGUUAAAUCCCAGAGCUCAACUCUGGAACUGCCUUUGAGACUGGACGCCUAGAGUUUGGGAGAGGUGAGUGGAAUGCCGAGUGUAGAGGUGAAAUUCGUAGAUAUUCGGCGGAACACCAGUGGCGAAGGCGACUCACUGGCCCAAUA
rnacentral:rRNA from 1 species